UGAUAUCAAUCUUUUUCUUUUUUUUAAGGUUACUUACAGAGUUUAAAAUUAAUUUGCUGAUGGUUUGAACAAAUACAUCUUUUAUCCCAGGUAUGUCAUUUUGAAGACUGACAUUGUACUUUUAUCCUUGAGGAUUAAGGAGAUCUUUGGGAAAGUCUGUAUUUUAUCUAAAGUAUGACUCCCCAGACAGAACAAUCUAAAGGGCCCAUACAACAUAGUAAUCAUUGGUGGAAACAUUUACACCCAGUCAGCUUGAAGAGUCUCAAAUGGACCUUACCACUGAGAAAUCAAGAUGGCAGUCCACUAUGGGGACAUGAGGAAAAUGGAUUAAUACAAGAGUGCUGUGAUAAUACACAACCAAGACAGGGUUCUUUUAACAUGGAUUCCAUGAAAUGAAUGAAUGAAGAUAUAGGUUUCUUACCCAACACAAAUGGACAGUGGAUUUUACUUUCAAAAAACUUUUGUAUCAUUAAAACCAGUGCAUUUUUGACCUUGGAGAAGACAGCACGGUAGUUUGUAUGCUUGGAAUUUUUUGCCUUUUGAUUUGUUUUGAGCAUGACCUCAUGGAAUGUUAUCUUUAAUAAAAUUUCUAACACUUAAAAAUUUCUCA
rnacentral:lncRNA from 1 species